AAUCCUUUAGCUAGACAGAAAAGUUCUCCAAGUCCCCACCCCACACAGAAGCCCAGCCAGCUUCACCUCUCACCACCAGUUAUGUGUCUCACACAGAAGGAGGUGAAAUGAGUUAAAAUGGGGGACUGGAACUGGAGAACUGAGUCCUGAUGAAGACUUGAAAAUCAUACCCUGCUGAAGAUCAACUGCAACACAAUAGAAACUGACCCUCAGGCAACCAAUGGAAACUCGUCAUAUUACUGCAUCCAGACAAUGAGAUGCAUAAUUACAGUAGCUGAACUGGGAGCCACAUCCAGAAAUAGAAUGAACAUCACCUAAAGAUAAUAGACUUUGAGCUGGAUGCAAGGACUGGAUGGGACUUCGGCUCCUUCUAGGGAAAACAGAGAAAAUCGGUAUGUGGUGAGCAGGGGGUCAGAUAUUAGUAAAGACUAAAUCUAUGCUCAUCCUGCUUGGUUUUUGUUAUUCUUACUUGGCACAUUCAUUUCUC
rnacentral:lncRNA from 1 species